ensembl:lncRNA
GACAUCAUGAACCAUACUGAUCCAUUCAGGAACAAAUUUCAGGCAGUUUGUGUAUCCUAUUUAGUCUGGAUAAAAGAAGACCACAUAGCAACCAAGACCCUUCUAGAUUUGCCUUGCCUUUUUCCUGGCUUCAUCUCCCUUCACUUUACUACAAUGGCUUUCCUUCCAUCCUUCCACUCCACAAGAACAGGGAGUCUGUUCAGCUCAUCACUGCAUAACCCAUGCCUGGCAUUUUGGAUGACCUCAAAAAAAGAUCUGUUGACUAUAUCAGAAGCCUCUCCUGAUUACCUAAGCCUGCUGCAAAACACCUGUUGCUUCCCCAUGGUGAC